CAGUAGCCGCGGGAAUACGAAGGGUGCAAGCGUUACUCGGAAUUACUGGGCGUAAAGCGUGCGUAGGUGGUGGUUUAAGUCCGUUGUGAAAGCCCUGGGCUCAACCUGGGAAUUGCAGUGGAUACUGGGUCACUAGAGUGUGGUAGAGGAUAGUGGAAUUUCCUGUGUAGCAGUGAAAUGCGUAGAGAUCGGAAGGAACAUCUGUGGCGAAGGCGACUAUCUGGGCCAACACUGACACUGAGGCACGAAAGCGUGGGGAGCAAACAGGAUUAGAUACCCCGGUAGUCCCUGUCUCUUAUAC
rnacentral:rRNA from 1 species